CAUGACUCAACAUCGACCCCAGGCUCCUGGGCUAGGUAUGUUGCUUGAAGGACACAAAGAGGGGACAACCUGAGGAGCCAGAGUAAGCAGCCAGCAGUUUAAUUUCAGCAUAGUAUGCAACCUGUGGAAUUCAUUGUUCGAAAAUACUACUGAGGCCAAGAGCUUUGGAAGAUAUUACUCUCACAUUUUCCAUACAGGAGCAAUAAAAAUAUCAUCCACCCCUACACCAGCUGGGAUAAAGAACCUACAAGGGAUAUAAAUCUUCAUCUUUCAUGACAAUAAUUGCUGUGAGCUAGACUAGGAAGACUAUUGCAUAACUGUCCACCGUGAGGGUUUUCUACCUCCCAUGAAGCACGUGGUGCUGGCUGCUGGCAGAGACGGGCUGCUUGGAGGGGCAUGUCUGUUUUCCCUUUCCAUUCCUCCUCUCCCCAGACACAUCCUUUUAUCUGGAACAGAUCCUUCAGCUGUCCUGCUGGAGACCUUUGGAGCAGUGGAGCAUCACACGGGACAGACCACCAUCCUGGGCUCUCCUGGCAGCUCAGGGCUGUAUUUGGUGUGCCUGGCAUUAUUCUGGUGAGCUGGGGGAAAUGAGACAUGUCUCUGGCCUUGGGAGAUGUGAAAGCUGGUAGCCCUUUAUCAUACUCCCCACAGGGGCAAACUCCAUGGGUACGAGUCAGCACCAGGGAAGAUGCCUGUCUGAUGCAGACGUCAGCAUUCCCCUCAGACAGAGGUUUUCUGGUGAAUCGCUGCUGCUCUGAGAGGCUGUGAUCAGAGAGCAUGAGGCCGUUCCCUUAGGCAGAUGGUGCCCAGCCUGUGAAUUGGUUUGGAGAGGAGGACUGAAAGUCUGGAUUUGGCCUAAAAUUUGGUACGGAGGUGUGAAGAACCAAAAGUUCUGGUGUUUGAAGUCUGCACUGGAAUUAGAGGGAAGAAACCUAGGGUCUCUGGAAACACUGCAUCAGAUUCUGAGCCCAAAGGGAAGAGAUGUCUUCUCCUUGCCAGAAGAUUCAUUAUUGCUAUUCAUGUGCAGCGUGGUUAGGUGCCAGCCAAGAACGGGACUCCACUGCUCUAGGCAAUGUUCAUACAGAGUAGAAGAUACAAAUCUAACAGAUGUGGCUAUUUCAAUGUUUAGAAGCGAUGAGGAGCAGGGUGAACACCAAGGCUGUGGAUUGUCCUAACAUGCUGAGAAAUGGGGCCAAUGAUGUAAGCUCUCCUUAGUGCUUGCCUACUGUUUUUCAGGGAGACACGCUAAACUUUUCCAAAGGAAGAGAAAUUCUGAAAGGUAUUCGCAAGCCAAAUCAAUUUAUUCUUAGAAUUUUCAUGCAAAGUGGGAUUUCCAACUGUUUCCAGUUUGGGAAUUUGAGUUUCACAUUUAGUAUUUCAUUUACAUUCCAGAAUUUCAAAGCACGAGUCAGAAAUCCUAGUUCAUGCCCUUUCUGUGUUUUAUCAUGAUUACUGCCUGUUUUAGAAUAAAGCGUAGUGCAUAAUAUGGCAAGAGA